UCUAAAUCUUUUUUUUCAAAUAUUUCUAUAUAGCUUUAUUUCAUUUCCGUUUAAGUUUUGGUGAGGAACAUCUUCACACACAAGCUCUGGUCAUUGGGGUAGGGUUUUUUGGAGCAACUGUGAAAAUGUCUGUAGUAGUUUAAAAUGCAUAUUGUGGCGGGUGGGCUGAGGCUCUGAAUGAAGACGUGACUGUGUUUCUUUCAGGUAAUGUUCACAUGUACAGUAACGGACGGAUGCGCUUUAAUCAGAAUCACGGCGAGAGAGGAGAGCAGCGAGGGGGAGGUCUCGCUCUUCUCAUGCAGUUGAUGCCCAUACCUCAUCCUCGUCAUCGUAUCAGCGCUCAGUCAGAUAAUGGUGACCAACCCUCCCUACAGCCUCAGCUUCAGACCCUGAAGGCAGAUGCAUUCUGUCAGUCAUGUGAGAUCUCUUCUGAUUGGUCGAGAGAGACAGAGGGCAGCAAACUCAGGGUGAACUCUCCACCUUUGACCCUGAAUGGUCUUCACGCAGAGGAAGUCUGAUGGACAGUCGCUCAGCUGUUCUUCACACUCGGUGUGCAUGAAUGAAGCCUGUGACCUCUGACCCUGACCGCUGCCUUUAUACCACAUUCUAACGUACUGCUGUUCUCUAAGCAGGGUUCCACUCACUUAAAGUCUUAUUUAAGUAAAAUUUUGCCAGGAAAAUAAUUUUUAUCACGUGUUAAUGUAAAAAUCUUGUGUGAUAUAACUUGUUUGCUUGCUGGUUUUUAUUGUGUUUGUUAUACUGGUAUUUUUUAAAUGCUAUGCUCUGAGCAGGGUUAUUAUUGUUAGCUAAAACUAAUACCAUGAAAACAUUUUCAUUAUUUGAAAUAAAAUAUAAAAAUAAAAUAUAUAUAUAUUUUUACUGAUGUACUAAAAUAACUAAUACUGAAAUUAAACAAAAACAAAAAACUAAUAAAAAUAAACUCAGCACUUCCUGUGACGCUCGCCAUCGCUCACCCUGCAGCUUCAGCAGGUCCGAUCGCUUCUCGUCCACGUCCGGACGCUCGGCCUUCAGGACCUCGUUGAGACACUGGCUCUGCAGGCUGCUGCGGGUCACGGUGAAGUUCACCAAGGUCACACGCGAGCACAGGUCAGGAGGGAACUCCACCUGCAAACACACGACACAAUUCAGCCGUUACCGCCUGUGUUGUGCUGCAUAACUAAUUUUUAUGAUUUCUGUCAUUACGCUUUAUCUGAUAGCUCACAGACAGUGUAAAGCACUUACCGUGGGGUCUCGUGUGGAGAGGAAGAUGACGAAGGAAGGCGACAGAUCGAUGUCCUGAUCUCCGAGCGUGAUGAGCACUCGGCCGCCGGUCCUGCGCACCUCUCGGUUCAGCACCGGGUUCAGGAUGGGGUCGUAGCUCUCCACGUCCUGACAGAGAAUCACAGAGCAAACACUGACAGAUGAAGACGAGCCGGACGGUUUCUACGGUAAUAAUCAGACGUUGGAUGGCCUCGUACCUGCACCAGCAGAGGGUUUCCGAAUCUCAGAGCGCUCUCCAAAUUCUUCCUGAAGGCAUCGUCCAAAAAGCUGGUGCGGGUGAUCUUUUUGUCUUUAUAUUCGUUCAUGAUGAACUCCGUGGCCUGACCUGAUGGGUCGAUGAUGAGCGGAUACCUGCAGAACACGACACACGUGUGAGAAAUCAGCAAGAGUCCUUCAGUGACGCACCCGUCUCGUCUCUCACCGGUCGAAGCGCUUCAGCAUGAUGGCGUUCUCGGUGCACAGGUCAUCAGCGGGCAGUGAGUUGGCCUGCCAGCGCAGCCUCUCGUCUGCAUUGGACAGAUACUCCGUCCUGGCGAUGUCCGUGCGGAACUGGACGGGAGAAAAGCACAGGUUCAGUCGUACAGCAGGGAUCUGAAGCGCUCAGUGCUGCAUCAUGGCAUUGUUCUGUGACGUUCUCUGUACCUGAACGUUGGCCUGCUGGAGGUGAUGGGACCAGGUGGUGAAGAGGUUCUGUCUCAUCUGCUGGUCAAAGUAACCAGCGUAAGCGAUGAAGGCGGCGGAGAGCAGACAGUCUCCAGCGAUGGUGGACAUCUGGUUCUUGAAGGUCUCGCUGGUCUUUUCCCAUCGGUCCCUCUCAGCAGAUAAACUCUUCAGCAGAGCUGUGCUGCGGUUCACCUGCACAGAGAUUACAAGACUAGUCAAGCUUAAACUGCUGUUCAGAGAAAACUACAACUAGCCAGAAGACGGGUUUCUCUCAGGAACCUUUAAUGGCUUUUAAGAGCAGAGUAAAUAAGCUCUGUGAACCUGUUU
rnacentral:lncRNA from 1 species